GGGGGGGGGGGGGGGGGGGGGGGGGGGGUGCGGGGGGGGGGGGGGGGUGAGGGGCUGGCGGCGGGGGCGGUCGCGGCGGGCGGGUGGGUGGCACGUGGGUACCCUACCUGUGCGGCUGGGAUACCUUCGGGAAACCGGAGCGAAUACCGGGGAAUCUCUUGACCCGCCGGGUUCCAUAGUGACAGACGGGUUUGCUGUCACUUAUCGAUGGAUCCGCGCCGCCUUAGCUAGUUGGUAAGGUAACGGCUUACCAAGGCACCGAUUCGUAGCCGACCUGAGAGGGUGAUCGGCCACACUGGAACUGAGACACGGUCCAGACUCCUACGGGAGGCAGCAGUAGGGAAUCUUCCGCAAUGGGCGAAAGCCUGACGGAGCAACGCCGCGUGAGUGAUGAAGGUCUUCGGAUCGUAAAACUCUGUUAUUAGGGAAGAACAAAUGUGUAAGUAACUAUGCACGCCUUGACGGUACCUAAUCAGAAAGCCACGGCUAACUACGUG
rnacentral:rRNA from 1 species